UAUAACCUUAUUUUUUGUUUUUUCAUGUUCAACGUUUGACCAUUCGUCUUAUUUAAAAAAACUGUAAAAAACUUUAAAAAAUUAGUAACGUAUAAAAUAUUAUUCAUAUUUUAUCAUCUAGUAAUAACAAAAAUAUUAAUCACAAAAAAAUUUUAAAUAAGAUGAAUGGUCAAACAUUGGACACGAAAAA
rfam:Oryza brachyantha chromosome 8, whole genome shotgun sequence.